GACGUAGGGCGCGAGCGUUGUCCGGAUUUAUUGGGCGUAAAGAGCUCGUAGGCGGCUCAUUGCGUCAACCGUGAAAACCAGCAGCUCAACUGUUGGCUUGCGGUUGAUACGGGUGGGCUGGAGUUCGGUAGGGGAGACUGGAAUUCCUGGUGUAGCGGUGAAAUGCGCAGAUAUCAGGAGGAACACCGGUGGCGAAGGCGGGUCUCUGGGCCGAUACUGACGCUGGAGGCGCGGAAAAGCUAGGGGGAGCGAACGGG
rnacentral:rRNA from 1 species